rnacentral:lncRNA from 1 species
AAGCCAGUAAGUCAAUGAAAAGAACUUAUGAGACUUGUGAUUUAGUGAAAUUGAUUAAUAAAAACAAUUUACAUAGAUGUGAAUAAUAAACUUGAAUCAUGAAAUAAAUAUUCAGAGUUAGAUCCCAUUAAGGGCAUCAUUUUCUUUCUUCUAUUCCCAUGAUAAACUUGCUGUCUUAUGGCCAAAAGCUGCACCUGUAGCGACAAGAUGGUUUGGUCCCACCCACCCGUGCUGCCUGGAACAGCUCAGUGACGAGGAUGGGUAAUGCUGGUAGACCAGAGCUAGACUCAGUUCAGCCUCCUUCCUAAUUCUUCGAGUCAAGGUAGUGCUCCAGAGAGCUUCCAGGAAAUCCCAAACAGGCAAACUGCUCUGUUGAAACAAUUAAGCAGCUGUGAUGAGGAGGGGCAGCAAUACACAGCAGCUGCCCGGAUUUCCAAGGAGGUUACAGAGAGUUCACGGACUUAGAACCACUCUAGCUCACCUGGCUCCACGUGGCGACUCCAGGCUCUGCACCCUUCCGGCCGCUAAGACAAGGCCUCAGACACGGGGUUCUGCCCUGUUUACUGUCAGCAGAGCCAAGCUGAGAAGGAUGGGCA